CAAGGGGAAUCCGACUGUUUA
rnacentral:snRNA from 1 species